ACAGAGGGGGCAAGCGUUGUCCGGAGUUACUGGGCGUAAAGCGCGCGUAGGCGGUACGGUAAGUAAGGUGUGAAAGCCCCAGGCUUAACCUGGGGAGGUCAUCUUCGACUGCCGCACUCGAGUCGUGCAGAGGGUGGUGGAAUUGCCGGUGUAGUGGUGAAAUGCGUAGAGAUCGGCAGGAACACCAAGGGCGAAAGCAGCCACCUGGGCACGUACUGACGCUGAGGUGCGAAAGCGUGGGGAGCGAACCGGA
rnacentral:rRNA from 1 species